rnacentral:tRNA from 1 species
GCCUUCUUAGCUCAGUGGUAGAGCGUUGCACUUGUACUCAAAUGAUUUGGGUCUAUGCAAAGGUCAGUCGUUCAAUCCGGCUAGGAGGCA